rnacentral:misc_RNA from 1 species
AAAACCCAAGAAAAGCCCUCGUAGCGAAGAAGCAGGAAAACACGAAGAAGAAAGAGUUAAAUCACUCUCCGAAAUCGAAUCAUGUACGGUGGUGAUGAAGUGUCAGCAAUUGUGAUAGAUUUGGGUAGCCAUACUUGCAAAGCUGGUUACGCUGGGGAAGAUGCUCCCAAAGCCGUUUUCCCAUCUGCUGUUGGAUCGGUUGAUGAAAUGGAAGUUGAUAAUCCUGAUAAUCCAGAGGAUAAUUCUGGAUCUGCUCCUGACCUUAAAUCAAAGGGUAAGCGGAAAUUGUAUGUUGGAUCUCAAGCCUUGGGAUUUCGCCGUGAUCACAUGGAGGUGAUAUCACCCAUCAGGGAUGGGAUGGUUGUGGACUGGGAUAUUGUAGAAAACAUAUGGGACCAUGCUUUUAGGGAAUGCUUACUGAUCGAUCCAAAGGAGCAUCCAAUGUUACUUGCAGAGCCUUGUUCAAACACUCAGCAGCAGAGGGAAAAGGCUGCAGAGAUAAUGUUUGAAAAAUACCAAGUUCCAGCAUUGUUUUUGGCCAAAAAUGCUGUUCUCACAUCUUUCGCAUCAGGACGUGCAACUUCUUUGGUUGUUGACAGUGGUGGAGGAUUGACUACUGUUGCUCCGGUUCAUGAUGGAUACAUUCUUCAAAAGGCGGUUUGUACAUCUCCUAUUGGGGGUGGAAUUCUUACCGAUUGCUUGAUAAAAAGUUUGGAACAGAAAGGCAUUACGAUAAAACCUAGGUAUUCAUUCAAGCGGAAGGAGAUCCGUCCAGGAGAAUUUCAGACAGUGGACCUUGAUUUCCCUGAUACAACCGAGAGUUACAAGCUAUAUUGUCAGAGAGCGAUUGCAAGUGACAUAAAAGAAUGCGUCUCCCGAGCCCCAGAUACUCCAUAUGAUGACAGUUCAUAUUCGAACAUUCCAACGACAUCUUAUGAGCUACCUGAUGGGCAGAUAAUAGAAGUCGGAGCAGAUAGAUUCAAGAUUCCUGAUAUUAUAUUCAAUCCAUCAUUGGUUCAGACUAUUCCCGGUAUGGAAAGUUUUGCUGAAACUGCCGCUUCCCUUCGUGGUCUUCCACAAAUGGUUAUAGAUAGCAUAAACAAGUGUGAUGUGGAUAUUCGAAGAGAACUUUUUAGCAGUAUAUUGCUUGCUGGGGGAACAGCAUCGAUGCAACAACUCAAAGAACGUCUGGAGAAGGACUUGCUAGAGGAGUCUCCUCAGGCAGCGAGAGUCAAAGUCCUGGCUAGUGGAAAUGCUACAGAAAGGAGAUUCAGUGUUUGGAUAGGGGGCAGCAUUCUGGCAUCUCUUGGCUCCUUUCAACAAAUGUGGUUUUCAAAGUCCGAGUACGAAGAGCAUGGGGCAUCUUACGUUCAAAGAAAAUGCCCUUAAGAAAGACGAUUUUGCUGUUAUAUUCUACGGGUAGCGCUCUAUUUAUGGGACUAGCGUCAAACAAUGACUGUUAUCCCAAACUUACCAGCUUAGUUCAUGUCUUGUAUUAUUAGGAAUCUGUAUCAGUGGAUUGUUAUUAUUCUGCAAUGCACUAUGUACAUCCAUAUCGAACUAGAAUUGAUGCGACUUGCUAUUUUAGCUUUUUAGCGAAAAUGCUAGAUUAAACACCCUUGACCCUGUCAUUGUAAGUAAUAUGUGCUAAUUGAUUGAUAAGUACCUCUUUUGACAAUUAAGUGGACAAA